CUCAUGGCGGCGCUCGUUUUGGUGCCUGGGUCUGUCCGCUAGAUUAGAUUCUGAACUCUUGGUCUGCGCCAAGAUCUUUGCCAACAGAUCGGGAAUGGUACACUGUCCUAGAUUUAAAGGAUGCCUUUUCAGCCUGCCGCUAGCCGAAAAAAGCCAAAAAAUGUUCGCCUUUGAAUGGUCAGACCCCCAGGGAGGAAUCAAUGGACAGCUGACAUGAACAUGGCUGCCUCAGGGCUUCAAAAACUCCCCAACCGUCUUUGAUGAAGCUCUUCAUGAAGACCUGAUGCGCCCACCAAGAUGUGUGGCCCCAGCUGCGGUCACUCUGUGAAACCCGGCCACCACCAGAGCCGCACCGCUUCUGGCCAGGUGACUGGGUAUUCGUCAGACGCCAUCGACAGGGAAACCUGGAACCGCGCUGGAAGGGGCCCUAUGUUGUGAUCCUGACCACACCCACCACACUCAAAGUUGACGGGAUAGCCUCCUGGGUCCACUACACCCACGCCCGCCUGGCCAACCCGACUGCCAACCAAGGAGACCCCCAUCGCCGCUGGACGGUGGAGUGACAUAAAGACAAUGCUCUCAAGCUCAAGCUACUAGCAUUACUCAUUCUUAAGACAUGGUAUUGUACUUGCUCUUUUGCUUGUCGCUUUGAUUGUACCACUCUGUGCAACAAACCCACACCAACCCUUAAACCGCACGUGGACCAUUUAUAACCUGGAGAGUGGCCGCCGGAUGAUCUUAAGCUAACAGAACGGUCCAAAAACUUCAUGGUUCCCACAACUCCAGGUAGACCUAUGUAUCCUAGCCAAGGACUCCUGGACACAAAGGGAGACUGAAAAUAUCUCUGGAGAUUCUUACCCUGACUGCUGCUUCAGGAAAUAUAUGUGUCCCCAGGGGGUAAAAAAACUCCAAAAUGUGGGGGACCUGAAAGUUAUUACUGUGCUGCUUGGGGAUGUGAAACCUCAUAUACAGGAGCCAACUGGAAGGCUGGAGGCCCUGGGGACCUGAUAAAAAUUACUAAACCCUCUGAGUCAUCCCUCCUCUCCAUCAACUUUACCCCUGACGGCAAAAAAAACUCAAGGCUGGGAAGCUGGAAAAAGUUGGGGUUUAAGAUUAUAUAGAACAGGAAACAGUCA